GGGAUUGUAGCUCAGCGGUAGAGCGCUCCCCUAGCACCGGAAGGACCUGGGUUCGAUCCUCAGCACCA
rnacentral:tRNA from 1 species